AUUGAACGCUGGCGGCAGGCCUAACACAUGCAAGUCGAGCGGAUGAGAGGAGCUUGCUCCUUGAUUUAGCGGCGGACGGGUGAGUAAUGCCUAGGAAUCUGCCUGGUAGUGGGGGAUAACGUUCCGAAAGGAACGCUAAUACCGCAUACGUCCUACGGGAGAAAGCAGGGGACCUUCGGGCCCUGCGCUAUCAGAUGAGCCUAGGUCGGAUUAGCUAGUUGGUGAGGUAAUGGCUCACCAAGGCGACGAUCCGUAACUGGUCUGAGAGGAUGAUCAGUCACACUGGAACUGAGACACGGUCCAGACUCCUACGGGAGGCAGCAGUGGGGAAUAUUGGACAAUGGGCGAAAGCCUGAUCCAGCCAUGCCGCGUGUGUGAAGAAGGUCUUCGGAUUGUAAAGCACUUUAAGUUGGGAGGAAGGGCAGUAAGUUAAUACCUUGCUGUUUUGACGUUACCAACAGAAUAAGCACCGGCUAACUUCGUGCCAGCCGCCGCCGUAA
rnacentral:rRNA from 1 species